GACGAACGCUGGCGGCGUGCCUAAUACAUGCAAGUAGAACGCUGAAGGAGGAGCUUGCUCUUCUGGAUGAGUUGCGAACGGGUGAGUAACGCGUAGGUAACCUGCCUGGUAGCGGGGGAUAACUAUUGGAAACGAUAGCUAAUACCGCAUAACAGUAGAUGUUGCAUGACAUUUGCUUGAAAGGUGCAAUUGCAUCACUACCAGAUGGACCUGCGUUGUAUUAGCUAGUUGGUGGGGUAACGGCUCACCAAGGCGACGAUACAUAGCCGACCUGAGAGGGGGAUCGGCCGCACUGGGACUGAGACACGGCCCAGACUCCUACGGGAGGCAGCAGUAGGGAAUCGUCGGCAAUGGACGGAAGUCUGACCGAGCAACGCCGCGUGAGUGAAGAAGGUUUUCGGAUCGUAAAGCUCUGUUGUAAGAGAAGAACGAGUGUGAGAGUGGAAAGUUCACACUGUGACGGUAUCUUACCAGAAAGGGACGGCUAACUACGUG
rnacentral:rRNA from 1 species